CCUACGGGAGGCAGCAGUGGGGAAUAUUGCACAAUGGGGGAAACCCUGAUGCAGCGACGCCGCGUGAGUGAAGAAGUAUUUCGGUAUGUAAAGCUCUAUCAGCAGGGAAGAAGCGAGACGGUACCUGACUAAGAAGCCCCGGCUAACUACGUGCCAGCAGCCGCGGUAAUACGUAGGGGGCAAGCGUUAACCGGAUUUACUGGGUGUAAGGGGAGCGUAGACGGGAUGGCAAUGCUGAAGUGAAAGCCCCGGGCUUAACCCUGGGACUGCUUUGGAAACUGUUAGACUAGAGGGCUGGAGAGGUAAGUGGAAUUCCUAGUGUAGCGGUGAAAUGCGUAGAUAUUAGGAGGAACACCAGUGGCGAAGGCGGCUUACUGGACAGUAACUGACGUUGAGGCUCGAAAGCGUGGGGAGCAAACAGGAUUAGAUACCCGUGUAGUC
rnacentral:rRNA from 1 species